UACGUAGGGUGCAAGCGUUAAUCGGAAUUACUGGGCGUAAAGCGUGCGCAGGCGGUGAUGUAAGACAGAUGUGAAAUCCCCGGGCUUAACCUGGGAACUGCAUUGGUGACUGGCAGGCUUUGAGUGUGGCAGAGGGAGGUAGAAUUCCACGUGUAGCAGUGAAAUGCGUAGAGAUGUGGAGGAAUACCGAUGGCGAAGGCAGCCUCCUGGGCCAACACUGACGCUCAUGCACGAAAGCGUGGGGAGCAAACAGG
rnacentral:rRNA from 1 species